GAUGAACGCUGGCGGUAUGCUUAACACAUGCAAGUCGAACGGACUCUUCGGAGUUAGUGGCGGACGGGUGAGUAACGCGUGAGAAUCUGGCUUUGGGUUCGGGACAACCACUGGAAACGGUGGCUAAUACCGGAUGUGCCGAGAGGUAAAAGAGAAAUUGCCUGAAGAUGAGCUCGCGUCUGAUUAGCUAGUUGGUGAGGUAAAGGCUCACCAAGGCAGCGAUCAGUAGCUGGUCUGAGAGGAUGACCAGCCACACUGGGACUGAGACACGGCCCAGACUACUACGGGAGGAAGCAGUGGGGAAUUUUCCGCAAUGGGCGAAAGCCUGACGGAGCAAUACCGCGUGAGGGAAGAAGGCUCUUGGGUUGUAAACCUCUUUUCUUAGGGAAGAACAAAAUGACGGUACCUAAGGAAUCAGCAUCGGCUAACUCCGUG
rnacentral:rRNA from 1 species